CCAAACAUCUCCGCCCCAGCUUCGGCUCUCCCAGUGACAUUCCUAAAUGGCUGUGGCUAGAGCCCUAAGUGUAAGCACUGGAGAGCCAGGGCCAGCUCCGCAAUCAGGAGGUAAGGCCCUGGGGCAGCUGGCCCCGCACCAAAGCCAAGUGGCUGGCAGCAGCCCACGGCCACCUGGAGCAUAGCAUAGAGGCCUUUCUUUCCUGUUCUCGGUCCCUGGAAGCAGCAGGUUCCCAUCUGUGACCUGAAGGAACACAAGGGAGAAUCGUGGCUGUGCUGCUCCUAUGCACUGGACGUGGGGAGGCACCAAUGUCCAGCUUGUGGAUCAAGACUUCAAGGGCACAAAGGGCAAUGUGGGUGCAGAAGGAACCAAAGGUAGGGGCGAGGUGGGCCCAGGCCACGUCAACCCUAGAGCUGUCUUCUCCUGGCUGUGGAAAAGGUCACGCGAGCACACAGGUGUGUGGGUGGCAAGCCCUGGGCCUCAAUUGCUAGUCAUCCCCUACAUACCCAGGAGCCCCAAGUGCAGAAGAGGGGAAUACCAGGGCCCACACAGGGCAAAAUCCUCAACUGGCUUCAGAAGCAGCCCAUCUGGAACUUGCAAGUGAGGCCCAACCCUUCUCUCCUGGCUGUGUGCCCGGCUUCCUCACCUUCCCCAGGAGCCAACCUGAAACUUAAGCCACCCAGGUGCUAAAACAACCUGGGGAGCAUCAGCUGAACCCCCAGAGGUACAGACAACCCUCUAGCAGGAAAACCAUCUGACCUGCCAGGAAGAGACAAGUGAGAAGACUCCUAGCCAAGGGGAGGGACAGGAUCAAUCCACCUGUCUGGGCCCAAGUCUGAGAUGAGCCUCCCUGUGGCCAUGUGCCCUGGGGCUUCCUGGCAAGCACAGCCCCGCCCGGCCAUACAGCUGUCCUGGGACUGGAUGGAUGGAUGGAUGGAUGGAUGGAUGGAUGGAUGGAUAAGCUCAAUAGAUUAGAUAAGACACAUUUGCUAGAUAAUAAAAUAGUAAAGGCCCUGAGGACAUACCACCACCAGCCAAGAGAGCAGCUGUGUGCCCAUGAGCAACGUUCACUUUUCCAAUGCAAGAUGCCCACCCAGAAGUGGGCUCCUCCCACACAUGGGUGUUAGGAGGAGAAACAGAGGCGUCUGUAAUCCUCUGAGGCCGCUCCAACAGAGACAUGCACCAAAAGGGAAGAAAACAGGAGAGAUGCUAAGAGUGACAGGAACCCAGCAGGAUGGCUAAGCUUGGAUGGACACAGGAAGAGGGUCUGGGAGCGAAGGGGCGUGCGGGUCCUAGGAGCAUAUCGCCUCCCAAGUACAUGCUAGGACGUGCUGUCUGAGGAGACGCUAACCACAGUAAUCAGAUCAACAGCCAGCUGCUCCCCAUCACCUGUGCGGGCACAGACGGUGAAGAAAUACUGUUCCCACCAGGCAGCCUGCCCCCACCCCACCCUUGGAAUACGGUGACCAUCACUCAAGCACAAGUGUCAAGGUCUGUGGUCUUUACUUCAUCUCACGUGACGGGUGAUAAAUACGGGCACUAGUUAAAGCGACUUCUAAGGAAGAUCCGAAAACCUUAGACCCACGGAAAACGCCAACAGAACAAGACCACAGAGCCCAGCAGCCCAGAGUCCUCAUUUUAGAUGCAGACUGACCUGACCACCCCCUCACAAAGUCUUGGCUGCAAUCGGGCACCUUUUCCCAACACCUCCAGUCACUCAGUUUUCCUCUCUGACCUCGGGUGUCAGAGCUGGGAGGCUGUCCUGAUGACCAAAAGCUUAGCUGGACACAGAGCCCUGGGCUCCUUCACAAGGAAUUCACUGAGGAACAAAAAAGUGAGGCACUGAGGACACCUGCAGUGUGAGUCCGGACAAGCACACUGACACAGCGGAACGGACGCAGCGGAACUGACACGGCGGAACAGACGUGGACGAUGUAGGGCCCCUCUCAGGAUGGCCAGCAGUUCUUCCCCUGCCAGGGCCACCAAGCCUCCCAUGGAGAGACGCUGUCUCUUUCCCUUCCAUUGGAAUCUGGAUGGCCCAGUGACGACUCUGACCAUCAGGAUGCAGGGACUGUGCCGAUUCCAGACCUAAACCUAAAGAAGCCUGGAAGAUCCUGCUCUGGCUCCUGGGAACCCAGUCACCGAGCUGGAGGAAAGUCCAGGCUCCCGUGUGAGUGGGAAACACACGGAGGGGCUCUGGGGAGAGGGCACGCGGAGAACAGCAGAGAGGCCUCUGACAGCACCAGCGCUGUGUGGCGAGGGACACUUCCCUGGACCUCCCAGCCCAGCUGCUCGCUGUUGCACGCACGGCCUCAGCCAACAGCUCGGAGCAAGCGACUGCCCGUUCAUCCAUAAAACGUUCCAAAGCACCAUAGGCUGCUGAGUAAGAAAGGUUUCUGUUUGGGCCAUGAAAUCCACUCUGGUACCAAGUUCCACAUUGCUGCCUCCACGACGCAGGGAUUCCAGUGGCAGCUGAGCCCCGUGGAAGCAGCAGAGCUUCCCGGGACAGGCCAAGCAGGAUCUGGAUCCAGGUUCCACCAGCCACUCGCAGGUGAUCUCCAGCAAAGCUUCUCCAAUGGCCAAUGGGGCUAAGGGUAUGACUUCCUUUGUGACAGGAUUAAAUUCAGUAACACAUGUCAAGGCCUGGUACAGUGCCCGGCACGUCGUGAGCAUGCAGCAAACUGCUGUGACCAGGAAGCACAGAUGCACGAUAGUUCUGUUUUUUUAGGCCAAAGACUUUAUCAGAUGGUUUCUAUAUACCCCUUUAUGCUGGGCACACUGGGUGUGUUUCAAAACCAUGUGGUGACUUGACCUUGUUAAGAGGUUGUAAUCAUAACCCAUUACUCCUAAAUGCAAUCUGGAAAAAUCCCAGAGCACAAUUAGCAUGAAGAGAGGGAGGAAGUGACGGGAGGGGCACUGAGUGGAGAGACAUCUAGAGCUAUUGUCUCUGCCAGGAGGCACUUUAUAUUGAACAACUGUUCUGUUAAACUCCAAGGGUGCUCCAAGGCGAAGGCUGGAGUGCAGGCCCAGAGCGCUAAGUGGCCCCAGAGAGCACAGCUCCAUCUCAGAGUCAAAUGGACACCUGUCAAACAUGAAAUGUUACCCAGGUUAUUAGUGUGCACUAAACUACCUGCAGGGUUUCCACACUGCCUCAAAGGGAAGCCAUUAAGCCAGGAAGCAACUGGCCUACCAUAGGGAGACACUGAUCUUCACAAACAACAGUCCCCGGCUCCCAGAAUAAGCUGCACCCAGCUAUGAGCCUUGUCAUGAGCCAUCUCGUGCCCAGGUGCUUGAGGAACCUAAGGGCACGUGAGAAGGAUCACCAUUUGGCUUCCAGUUGCUCAGCAUUCUUGAUUUUCUAGAAAUACAGGUGGAUCAACAUAAACUUCCAAAGGAGCCAGGUACAAUGGCUCACGCCUGUAAUCCCAGCACUUUAGGAGGCCAAGGCAGGAGGACUGUGGGAGGUUUGAAACCAGCCUAGGCAACAUGGUACAACCCUGUCUCUACAAAAGAAAUUA